UACGUAGGGUGCAAGCGUUAAUCGGAAUUACUGGGCGUAAAGCGUGCGCAGGCGGUUCGGAAAGAAAGGUGUGAAAUCCCAGGGCUUAACCUUGGAACUGCACUUUUAACUACCGGGCUAGAGUACGUCAGAGGGGGGUAGAAUCCACGUGUAGCAGUGAAAUGCGUAGAGAUGUGGAGGAAUACCGAUGGCGAAGGCAGCCCCCUGGGAUGAUACUGACGCUCAUGCACGAAAGCGUGGGGAGCAAACAGG
rnacentral:rRNA from 1 species